GCAGUAGUGGUUCAGUGGUAGAAUUCUCACCUUCCAUGAGGGAAAAAAAAAAAAAAAAAUUUUUUUUUUUUUUUUUAAUGAGGGAAACCUGAGUUCAAUUCCCAGCCAAUGCA
rnacentral:tRNA from 1 species